rnacentral:rRNA from 1 species
UACGUAGGGGGCAAGCGUUGUCCGGAUUUAUUGGGCGUAAAGAGCGUGUAGGCGGCCUUACAGGUCCGUUGUGAAAACUCGAGGCUCAACCUCGAGACGCCGGUGGAAACCGUAAAGCUAGAGUCCGGAAGAGGAGAGUGGAAUUCCUGGUGUAGCGGUGAAAUGCGCAGAUAUCGGGAAGAACACCCGUGGCGAAGGCGGCUCUCUGGGACGGUACUGACGCUGAGACGCGAAAGCGUGGGGAGCGAACAGG